CUGGUUGAUCCUGCCAGUAGUCAUAUGCUUGUCUCAAAGAUUAAGCCAUGCAUGUGUAAGUGCAAGCCGAACUAAGGCGAAACCGCGAAAGGCUCAUUACAUCAGUUGUGGUUCCUUGGACUGUACCCAGUUACUUGGAUAACUGCGGAAAAUCUGGAGCUAAUAUAUGCCGACAGAGUCCCGACCAGAGAUGGGAGGGACGCUUUUAUUAGAUCAAAACCAAAUCUUCCCCUCGUGGGAAAACGACUCAAGGUGACUCUGAAUAACUUUGUGCCGAUCGCACGGCCCUCGCGCCGGCGACGCGUCUUUCAAAUGUCUGCCUUAUCAACUUUCGAUGGUAGGCUCUGCGCCUACCAUGGUUGUAACGGGUGACGGGGAAUCAGGGUUCGAUUCCGGAGAGGGAGCCUGAGAAACGGCUACCACAUCCAAGGAAGGCAGCAGGCGCGCAAAUUACCCACUCCCGGCUCGGGGAGGUAGUGACGAAAGAUAACGAUGCAGGACUCUUAUGAGGCCCUGUAAUCGGAAUGACUACAUUUUAAAUCUCUUAAGGAGUAUCAAUUGGAGGGCAAGUCUGGUGCCAGCAGCCGCGG
rnacentral:rRNA from 1 species